rnacentral:lncRNA from 1 species
UAAUGGUUGAAAUUUGAGAGUUUGAAGCUAGUGAAUGGUUGUUAUGAGAACGUGAGCAGUGAUUCGGGUGAGAAAAAAAGUAAGGUAUGUGUUAGUUGUGUAAGAGUUUAUUGGUGUAUGUGUUUGGAGUGAGAGAGAGGGAGAGGGACUUUUGUGUUGAAUUUGGUUUUUUCUUUUUUUUUCUUUGCUCUUGAAUAUAAGAUUGACCUUAUAGGUCUUGUGUUAUACUAAGUAUGGGAACAAAAUAACAAGCAAAUUAAUGUGAGAUUAUGUUGUGUUUUAAAGUGAGAAAUCAAAGCCAAUAAGAGUCAAUUAAAGUGGUUUAUUAUGUUUGCUAUUUUGAG